rnacentral:rRNA from 1 species
AAGACCUUGCACUUUUGGAGCGGCCGAUGUCUGAUUAGCUAGUUGGUGGGGUAAUGGCCUACCAAAGCUUCGAUCAGUAGCUGGUCUGAGAGGACGGCCAGCCACACUGGGACUGAGACACGGCCCAGACUCCUACGGGAGGCAGCAGUGGGGAAUUUUGGACAAUGGGGGCAACCCUGAUCCAGCCAUGCCGCGUGAGUGAAGAAGGCCUUCGGGUUGUAAAGCUCUUUCAGUCGGGAAGAAAAGGUUGUGACUAAUAAUUGCAAUUCAUGACGGUACCGAAAGAAGAAGCACCGGCUAACUACGUGCCAGCAGCCGCGGUAAUACGUAGGGUGCGAGCGUUAAUCGGAAUUACUGGGCGUAAAGGGUGCGCAGGCGGUUUUGUAAGUCAGAUGUGAAAUCCCCGGGCUUAACCUGGGAACU